UCUGAUAAAAAUCAGUACACAGAAACAAUAUAUGAUAGAAAGGAAUAAAGAAAGUGAAAAAAAAAAUAAACUUCUAAGAAAAAAAGGAAAGGGAAUGUAUAAUAAAAGAACAGAGUUGGAAAGAAGAGAAAA